rnacentral:rRNA from 1 species
CCUACGGGGUGCUGCAGUGGGGAAUAUUGGACAAUGGGCGAAAGCCUGAUCCAGCCAUGCCGCGUGUGUGAAGAAGGCCUUCGGGUUGUAAAGCACUUUCAGUGGGGAAGAAAGCCUUGGGGCUAAUACCCUCGAGGAAGGACAUCACCCACAGAAGAAGCACCGGCUAACUCCGUGCCAGCAGCCGCGGUAAUACGGAGGGUGCGAGCGUUAAUCGGAAUUACUGGGCGUAAAGCGCGCGUAGGCGGUCUGAUAAGCCGGUUGUGAAAGCCCCGGGCUCAACCUGGGAACGGCAUCCGGGCGGUGCGGGUGCGGUGCGGGAGAGUCGGGACAGAUUCCGGGUGUGGCGGCGGCAUGCGCGGAGAACGGGAAGGAUGGUAGGAGAGAAGGCGGCAAUCAGGCCUGACACUGACGAUGAUGUGCGAAAGCCUAGGUAGCAACCAGGAUUAGAUGCCCCUAUAGG